rnacentral:lncRNA from 1 species
AUCUUGGGAUACUUCAGAGAACAAUUCUCAAACAACAACUUCAAACUGACAGACAGACUUCAAGGAACUAUGCAGGAUAGAUGGGUGGCCAAAUGACAAGCUUGGAAAGCUACAAGGGAGUGCUACCUGCUCCUCUCCGUCCAUUCUUUGCUCUCUACUCUGAACUCCAUGUCUUCCACCAAGGUUCACUUCACCACUGUGUCAUUAAAAUGUUCAGUACCAAUAUGCAGACUGUCCGCAAUGAUAGGUAUAAACUGUUCAAGAAGACACCCAUUUCUAGCAAAAUUUCUGACUCCUUUCAAAAUAAAAAUUGGCCCUCUUACAGUAAUUUCACACUGAUAUAUGGCAGGGAUUAAUCCAAAAUGCCUGCAUAUAUUCAGGAUAGCUUUCCUGAGUUGAUUGGCCUUUGACUGUGAAAUUUUAACUACAAAAAUCAAGUUUAUGAAUCAUAUUUGUAUGUACAAAGACAUUCACUGUCAACUGACCUGUGAAAACAUAAAUCAUAUUACCAGUAUGGGGAUUAUUAUUAUAAAAGAAAUCUUUAUGUAGAGAAGAAUUACUAAUGAGUCAAAGC